AAAAGUUAAUAUAGUGGAGAACCUGAGUAUGUUGAAGGGUCAACUUUCAAUGUCCAGAGUGAGCUUCUCAUCUGGGAUUGUUUUGCAUAAUGAAUUUGUCUUAUUAUGUAUCUAUAAAUCUCACUUCCAUGUUCUCCUGAGUAGACAUGUAUUGAAAAUUCUAUACGGGGUGAUACUAAUAGUAUGUUGUAUGACUCACAUUAAGAUCACAUAUAGUUGAAAAAGUUCAUGUUGUGUUCUGUAGUCCUGACUUUUGUUUCUUCAGUGCAUUUUAAAUGGGUAAGGAGUAGGCCAAAUAGUAUGAAAUUUAAAGUUGGUUUCCCCUUCAUGUGUUCUCUUUCAGAUUUUUGUUUCUGAAAAUGAAUUGCUUCAAAACUUUUGUUGGCAAAGUUCACUAGAAUGUCCCAAAAAAAAAAAAAAAAACAUUGCAUUGUUCGGGAUGAUAAUUUAUAUCCAAUAUGAUCAUUAGUCACUUAGAGAACCUGAUUUGGGAAGUGGGUCGUAAAGUUUUAAUAGUUUUGUUGUGUGUAAUUUUCUUGCUUUGCCUACCAAGAAUCUAAUAACCAAAGGCUUAGUUGUUUUCUCCAAAUGGUUUUCAAUUUGUUGUAGGUAAACAAGAGCUACUAAGUUGUUAUGCAGCAGGGGAAUGGAAGGAAAGUAAAAAUUCAAGCUUUUAAUCAAAGAGAGAAAUGGAGCGACGCUAAACAAAAUAUAGGUAAAACUGACUGAUACUUUCUUUCCAUUUAAAUAUAAAUCAAUUGAUUAAGUUUGUGUUUAAAAUGAAGUUUCAAUUGUUUCCGAAUUCUAACAAUGUCCUACGCAUUAAGAUAAUCUAUUUAGAGUUUUGAUCCACUUUUGAUUAUGCAUAAUUUCAAUUCUUUUCCAUGUAGAGUUUCGAUUUUUCUUAUCAGUGAGAGAAGAAGCUGUAAUUUGGGUUCACAAUUUUUGCCUUUGUAGAUUUUUGACGUAGGACUGAGCUUUCAAAAGGCACUUCAGGCUCUGGAAAUUUUUUUGUUAUCAUGUUCUAAAUUGUGCAAACCAUUUCUUUAAUUAGAGAAAAUUAAGCACAAUCUUACUUGUAUACAUAUUGUUAAUUUAAGAAACAAUUUUGUUAGUCUUUUCUAAGAAAAAUGAUAUAAGAAACUGCAAUUUACUUUUGGAUUUCAUUCUUCACUGAUUUCUGAGUUUAUGCCUAAGUCAUAAUCUAUUCCAAAUACAGGUUGAGUCCAAAUACAGGCUGAGCAAAAGGAGGAAAGAUUUAAGGAGGUAUGUGUAUUAUG
rnacentral:lncRNA from 1 species